CGUGCACUCAUUCCCGUACUAUCACCGAAGUUAAGCAACUUCGUGUCUGGUCAAUACCUAGAUGGGUGACAGCGUGGGAAUACUAGGUGAUGUAA